UACGUAGGUGGCGAGCGUUGUCCGGAUUUACUGGGCGUAAAGAGCGCGCAGGCGGUCGUUCAAGUCGCGUGUGAAAGCCCCCGGCUCAACUGGGGAGGUCACGCGAUACUGAUCGACUCGAAGGCAGGAGAGGGUAGUGGAAUUCCCGGUGUAGUGGUGAAAUGCGUAGAUAUCGGGAGGAACACCAGUGGCGAAGGCGACUACCUGCCUGUUCUGACGCUGAGGCGCGAAAGCUAGGGGAGCAAA
rnacentral:rRNA from 1 species